UUUUUUGUAUUAUAAAGGAAUUUUAGCAUUUAUUUUUGAGCAUAUUGUACAAGAAAUUUUAUAUACUGGUAACAAAUUCAUGAUAUUUACGCAUCAUAGAAGGUCAAGAACUCUUCGUCACUGUCAGUAUCAGAAGUGGUGUCUUCUUUAAUUUCUACAUUUCCAGUGUCUUCUGAAGAGUCACUUUCCUCCUCCCGGUAAAUUUCGUCUUCACUUCCAUCCAUAGCAUUACUUAUGCCGCAUUUUUUUAGACGAUUUCACAACCACAUCCUCCUGACACUGUUCUACUAUCUUAGGAUCCAACCACAAACCUAGGCGAUAGGUGCUUUCUUGAUUCUGCCUAUAGGUCUUGAAUCAUUACCAGGUGACCGCAUCCACGCCAUCCACUCUUUCUUCAUUAGGGCCUUAAAGGGCUUGUUUACUGACACACCAAGAGGUCGCAGUUGGCUGGUUG